rnacentral:rRNA from 1 species
GGGUUGUGAGGUUAAGCGACUAAGCGUACACGGUGGAUGCCCUGGCAGUCAGAGGCGAUGAAGGACGUGCUAAUCUGCGAAAAGCGUCGGUAAGGUGAUAUGAACCGUUAUAACCGGCGAUGUCCGAAUGGGGAAACCCAGUGCAAUUCGUUGCACUAUCGUUAACUGAAUACAUAGGUUAACGAGGCGAACCGGGGGAACUGAAACAUCUAAGUACCCCGAGGAAAAGAAAUCAACCGAGAUUCCCCCAGUAGCGGCGAGCGAACGGGGAGCAGCCCAGAGUCUGAAUCAGCUUGUGUGUUAGUGGAACGGUCUGGAAAGUCCGACGGUACAGGGUGAUAGUCCCGUACACCAAAAUGCACAGGUUGUGAACUCGAAGAGUAGGGCGGGACACGUGGUAUCCUGUCUGAAUAUGGGGGGACCAUCCUCCAAGGCUAAAUACUCCUGACUGACCGAUAGUGAACCAGUACCGUGAGGGAAAGGCGAAAAGAACCCCGGCGAGGGGAGUGAAAAAGAACCUGAAACCGUGUACGUACAAGCAGUGGGAGCACCUUCGGGUGUGACUGCGUACCUUUUGUAUAAUGGGUCAGCGACUUAUAUUCUGUAGCAAGGUUAACCGUAUAGGGGAGCCGCAGGGAAACCGAGUCUUAACUGGGCGUUAAGUUGCAGGGUAUAGACCCGAAACCCGGUGAUCUAGCCAUGGGCAGGUUGAAGGUUGGGUAACACUAACUGGAGGACCGAACCGACUAAUGUUGAAAAAUUAGCGGAUGACUUGUGGCUGGGGGUGAAAGGCCAAUCAAACCGGGAGAUAGCUGGUUCUCCCCGAAAGCUAUUUAGGUAGCGCCUCGUGAACUCAUCUUCGGGGGUAGAGCACUGUUUCGGCUAGGGGGUCAUCCCGACUUACCAACCCGAUGCAAACUACGAAUACCGAAGAAUGUUAUCACGGGAGACACACGGCGGGUGCUAACGUCCGUCGUGAAGAGGGAAACAACCCAGACCGCCAGCUAAGGUCCCAAAGUCAUGGUUAAGUGGGAAACGAUGUGGGAAGGCACAGACAGCCAGGAUGUUGGCUUAGAAGCAGCCAUCAUUUAAAGAAAGCGUAAUAGCUCACUGGUCGAGUCGGCCUGCGCGGAAGAUGUAACGGGGCUAAACCAUGCACCGAAGCUGCGGCAGCGACACUAUGUGUUGUUGGGUAGGGGAGCGUUCUGUAAGCCUGCGAAGGUGUGCUGUGAGGCAUGCUGGAGGUAUCAGAAGUGCGAAUGCUGACAUAAGUAACGAUAAAGCGGGUGAAAAGCCCGCUCGCCGGAAGACCAAGGGUUCCUGUCCAACGUUAAUCGGGGCAGGGUGAGUCGACCCCUAAGGCGAGGCCGAAAGGCGUAGUCGAUGGGAAACAGGUUAAUAUUCCUGUACUUGGUGUUACUGCGAAGGGGGGACGGAGAAGGCUAUGUUAGCCGGGCGACGGUUGUCCCGGUUUAAGCAUGUAGGCUGAUUAUCCAGGCAAAUCCGGAUAAUCAAGGCUGAGGUGUGAUGACGAGGCACUACGGUGCUGAAGUAACAAAUGCCCUGCUUCCAGGAAAAGCCUCUAAGCAUCAGGUAACAUCAAAUCGUACCCCAAACCGACACAGGUGGUCAGGUAGAGAAUACCAAGGCGCUUGAGAGAACUCGGGUGAAGGAACUAGGCAAAAUGGUGCCGUAACUUCGGGAGAAGGCACGCUGGUGUGUAGGUGAAGUCCCUGCGGAUGGAGCUGAGACCAGUCGAAGAUACCAGCUGGCUGCAACUGUUUAUUAAAAACACAGCACUGUGCAAACACGAAAGUGGACGUAUACGGUGUGACGCCUGCCCGGUGCCGGAAGGUUAAUUGAUGGGGUUAUCCGUAAGGAGAAGCUCUUGAUCGAAGCCCCGGUAAACGGCGGCCGUAACUAUAACGGUCCUAAGGUAGCGAAAUUCCUUGUCGGGUAAGUUCCGACCUGCACGAAUGGCGUAAUGAUGGCCAGGCUGUCUCCACCCGAGACUCAGUGAAAUUGAACUCGCUGUGAAGAUGCAGUGUACCCGCGGCAAGACGGAAAGACCCCGUGAACCUUUACUAUAGCUUGACACUGAACAUUGAGCCUUGAUGUGUAGGAUAGGUGGGAGGCUUUGAAGCGUGGACGCCAGUCUGCGUGGAGCCAACCUUGAAAUACCACCCUUUAAUGUUUGAUGUUCUAACGUUGGCCCCUGACCGGGGUUGCGGACAGUGUCUGGUGGGUAGUUUGACUGGGGCGGUCUCCUCCCAAAGCGUAACGGAGGAGCACGAAGGUUAGCUAAUCCUGGUCGGACAUCAGGAGGUUAGUGCAAUGGCAUAAGCUAGCUUGACUGCGAGCGUGACGGCGCGAGCAGGUGCGAAAGCAGGUCAUAGUGAUCCGGUGGUUCUGAAUGGAAGGGCCAUCGCUCAACGGAUAAAAGGUACUCCGGGGAUAACAGGCUGAUACCGCCCAAGAGUUCAUAUCGACGGCGGUGUUUGGCACCUCGAUGUCGGCUCAUCACAUCCUGGGGCUGAAGUAGGUCCCAAGGGUAUGGCUGUUCGCCAUUUAAAGUGGUACGCGAGCUGGGUUUAGAACGUCGUGAGACAGUUCGGUCCCUAUCUGCCGUGGGCGCUGGAGAAUUGAGGGGGGCUGCUCCUAGUACGAGAGGACCGGAGUGGACGCAUCACUGGUGUUCGGGUUGUCAUGCCAAUGGCACUGCCCGGUAGCUAAAUGCGGAAGAGAUAAGUGCUGAAAGCAUCUAAGCACGAAACUUGCCCCGAGAUGAGUUCUCCCUGAGACU